AAAGAUCAAAGCCUCAAAGAUAAGGAUGACGCAAUCGAGAUGUUAGCAAAGAAAGUGGAAACAUUAACUAAAGCAAUGGAAGUUGAGGCAAAGAAGAUGAGAAGAGAAGUAGCUGCCAUGGAGAAGGAAGUUGCUGCCAUGCGUGUAGAGAAAGAACACGAGAAUAGGGCAAAGCGGUUUGGUAAUUCAAAAGGGCCUGUCAGUGCUGCUCAGUUGCUUCCUGGAAGGAAUGUGGCACGUGGUGGAUUAACACGCAGCACUCAAUGACUAUAAAUUUCCACUCAUAUAAUCAGUGAGGCAUAAAUCUGCAUAGGUCUUGUUCUUUAGUUCAUUUUUAUAUUUUAUAUUUUCCCCUUCUCCUGUGAUUGAUUAUAAAAUUGUAACUUGCAUGCCGAUGAUCCAUGUUACAUUGUAAUUGGCAAAGAAAGUAAACUCAGGAAGAGAACAGUAUCAGAGGAAAGAAAUUGGCAUGCUUCUGACAUAGACUGUUAUUCCUCUGCUUAGAGAUCAGCGGAAAAAAAAAAAAAAA
rnacentral:misc_RNA from 1 species